rnacentral:rRNA from 1 species
AGGUUCACUGUCCAGAUUUGGACUGAAAUUUGCACUUGGCUUGGCAUUCUUGACUCCUCACCAAUGAUUUGGCGUCAUGAAGACUCAGUUAAAGAUUGGUGGCUUAAGGCGGUUAGUGGGGGAGGUGACCACAGGAAGGCCACCGCCUCCUUGAUGAUGCUUGUCUCAUGGGAAAUUUGGAAGGAGCGCAACGCAAGAAUUUUUCAGAAUGUCUCCGCUCCGACCUCUAUUGUUAUCGCGAAAAUCAAGGAGGAGGCUCAUCUUUGGACUUUGGCAGGAGCGAAGCAGCUUAGUAUUGUUAUGUCACGAGAGUAG